UACGAAGGGGGCUAGCGUUGCUCGGAAUCACUGGGCGUAAAGGAUGCGUAGGCGGGUCUUUAAGUCAGGGGGGAAAUCCUGGAGCUCAACUCCAGAACUGCCUUUGAUACUGAAGAUCUUGAGUUCGGGAGAGGUGAGUGGAACUGCGAGUGUAGAGGUGAAAUUCGUAGAUAUUCGCAAGAACACCAGUGGCGAAGGCGGCUCACUGGCCCGAUACUGACGCUGAGGCACGAAAGCGUGGGGAGCAAACAGG
rnacentral:rRNA from 1 species